rnacentral:lncRNA from 12 species
UUUUCUGUAAUAUUUUUCUGAUUUGCAUGAAUCAGAAGAAAGUUAAUAUAAAUGUUUAUAUUAUUGUAGAGAAGGAAAGCACUGACAAUCACACUGUGAACAAUUCUUCAGAGAACACUGAUGACCAAAAAACUGGAGGAAUUGUGGGGAGAAAAAAGUUUUCCCUGUUUAAGCGAAAGCCACUGACAAGCCAGAAGAAUGUAUGUGGCAAGAAGGAAGAUAGCUCUGAAAAGCCAUUGCAGAGUGAAGAAAAAGAAAAGGAAGAUUUACCUGAUGAAGACAGUAAGGAUGAAAAUCAGAAUACACUGGAGAAUUCCAGUGAAACUGUGACUAAUCAGGACAGAAGGGUGAAAACAUGUAUAUUGCUGUAACAUUCUUAAAAUAUAUGAAAAUGUGACAGUCUUAAAGCACAUAAUGCAAUUUUUACUUGAAAACAGUUCUGACUCGAGAUAUUGAUGGCUGCUUUUUUGAUUGAUUGGAUUGCUGUAAUUUUAAAUAGGCAGAUGAUUUUCUUGGUAUUUAUUGAUAAUUUUACUACUUCAAAAUGAUAUGCUUAUCAGCACCUUGCUGGGGUUCUGUGGCCUUAUCUGUUGAUGCUCUAAAACAAAAUAUGGGGGGAUUUUAUGUGAAAAGUUGAAUACAGGCAUCUUAUGGUUUUUGCAAAAUAAUUUUAUUCUGUAUCAGUCUACAGAGUACCACUUUCAGCAUGAUACUCCGACAAAAUUAUAAUAUUUGAUGUAAGAUAUUAUUUGGUUUAACAACCAGUUAAGAAUACUGAAGGUACUCAGAAAUAUACAUGUUACUUUCUGUUUUGACAUAGAAAAAAUAGCAGUAAAACUUUCAAGUUAACUUGUAGGGCAUUAUGGAAGGAGUUACUUGAGUAUGUGCCUAAUUUCAUGCAUGGCAGCAGUCCCAGUGGAAACAGUGUAAGUACAGAAUUAUCCUGCCAAACUGGGACAGGGAGAAAGCUUUUAUUUCUGAGAGGUGCUGAAAACCUUUACUCCUGCUGAAAUUGGCAUAGGCUGAUGGGCCUCUCUCCUCAUUGAAUCAGGCCCAGUGAAAACUGGACACCCUCUUGUUUCACUUGGAUUCUAAUCCUGUACUCUCUGAACAUCCACACCUCAAUGAGUCUCCAGUGACGAUUUUCUUACAGAAAAAUAAUGUAACCAGAGAUACUGGGCAUCAAUACAACAAACUGAUCAUUAUGGGGUAAAUAUUCAUGUUUUUCUCAGGCAGACUGGCUUUUCUUCAGAUGGACAGUUAGAAGGAGGAGCCAAAAAUCAGUACAAAUAAAAACUGCUCAACAGCACUGCAGCAUUGAGAAGCAGAAAUUCUUUACUCAGCCAGAUGCUCAUGGGGAUAUCUCCUCCAAAAUACUGUGCAGGCUGAGUACAGAAAAAGCUCCUGUUUAUAUACUGUAUUUUGCAUACAUAGUCAUUGAUUUUCCCAGAAUAAACAUAUACAUGAUAAAUAAUUUCCCUGAAAUCAUUAAUAUAUUUUCCCUCCCCUUUACAUGCACUCUUUGCUGGUCCCUGGUGGUCAGUGACCCCAAAGUGAUUCCUGACCACACAGUGAACUGGUGGACAGCUGGGCUGGUUACUUCUCAGUUCUUCCUUUAAUUUUCCUAGAUUCAGAGUUGCUUAAAUUUUAUGUCAAAGAUCAGAAGUGUCCAGAGUUGAUUUCAUCCCAGGAGUCGGUUCACCUGAAUGCUUUGUCCUUGUAAGAUUGGCCCAGAUUCUUUCACAGGGCCCCCUCUGUGCUACCUUAAUCAUUAUAUUAAAAACCUGGGUGCUUGGGUCAUCCUUUGCCAGGGUUAGUUAGGAUCCUUUUGUGUCUUUUCUUUUUCUUUGGGCUACUCCUGCGUUCUGCAGUGAACCUUACACGAGGGGUUUUUCUCCUCCAUUAUAUUUAUGUAUUUUCUUAUUUUUCUGAAUGCACAUGUGGUUUCUGUUCUACUUGGAUAUUGUAGAGAAGAGUGAAGUGGAAAAGGAGAAAUAAAGUAAAUGGCACCCCCAUUAAUUUAAAUAAGCUUGAAUUAUUUUUUCAGAGGAGAUCAGUCAUAGAUAUUUUUUCUGUAAGGGCAAUUUCUUUUUUUAAAGGUGAAUGAAUUUAGUGAGAAAUAUUUCUUUAAAAUGGGAAUUACCCUCAAAUCUAAUGUUACAGAAGUUUACAUCAUGGACUGUAAAUUGCUGUAUGUCUGAGCAGUUUCAGGGACUGGUACAUUUAUCUUGUCCACACAUUUUGCUCAACAAGAAGCAGGAAUAUAUUAACCCAUUCAAUGUCUUUUUUCAUGUCUUCAUUUUUAAUAAAAAAGAUUAAACAAAUAAUGUGCAUGUGUACUAACUUACAGGGUUUUUU